GGGGGCGUAAUGGUUUCGACGUGGGUUUGGCACUUGAGGCUGCGUGUCGUGUUACUCUGGGUCACGUAAAAACUGGGGAACUUAAAAUAAACGCAAACGAUAAUUACGCUUUAGCAGCAUAAUGACUGCUCGUCCCGCCUAAGCCCUCCUGCCGGCCAGGCCUGGACGUCAUUUAUGCAGGGAACUACUUUCGGGGUGUCUCGACCGAGAGUGGACUAAUUGGGACUGGUCAAUCACAGAGCCUGCCACUGUGCGAUGUGUGCGACGAGAUUUAAAAAUCAGAUGGCUACGCACGUAGACGCAGCGAGGAAAGGACUUGCGGACAGGGGUUCGACUCCCCUCGUCUCCACCA
rfam:Clostridium sp. JC272 contig194, whole genome shotgun sequence.